rnacentral:rRNA from 1 species
CUCAGGACGAACGCUGGCGGCGUGCCUAAUACAUGCAAGUCGAGCGGACAGAUGGGAGCUUGCUCCCUGAUGUUAGCGGCGGACGGGUGAGUAACACGUGGGUAACCUGCCUGUAAGACUGGGAUAACUCCGGGAAACCGGGGCUAAUACCGGAUGCUUGUUUGAACCGCAUGGUUCAAACAUAAAAGGUGGCUUCGGCUACCACUUACAGAUGGACCCGCGGCGCAUUAGCUAGUUGGUGAGGUAAUGGCUCACCAAGGCAACGAUGCGUAGCCGACCUGAGAGGGUGAUCGGCCACACUGGGACUGAGACACGGCCCAGACUCCUACGGGAGGCAGCAGUAGGGAAUCUUCCGCAAUGGACGAAAGUCUGACGGAGCAACGCCGCGUGAGUGAUGAAGGUUUUCGGAUCGUAAAGCUCUGUUGUUAGGGAAGAACAAGUACCGUUCGAAUAGGGCGGUACCUUGACGGUACCUAACCAGAAAGCCACGGCUAACUACGUGCCAGCAGCCGCGGUAAUACGUAGGUGGCAAGCGUUGUCCGGAAUUAUUGGGCGUAAAGGGCUCGCAGGCGGUUUCUUAAGUCUGAUGUGAAAGCCCCCGGCUCAACCGGGGAGGGUCAUUGGAAACUGGGGAACUUGAGUGCAGAAGAGGAGAGUGGAAUUCCACGUGUAGCGGUGAAAUGCGUAGAGAUGUGGAGGAACACCAGUGGCGAAGGCGACUCUCUGGUCUGUAACUGACGCUGAGGAGCGAAAGCGUGGGGAGCGAACAGGAUUAGAUACCCUGGUAGUCCACGCCGUAAACGAUGAGUGCUAAGUGUUAGGGGGUUUCCGCCCCUUAGUGCUGCAGCUAACGCAUUAA